rnacentral:rRNA from 1 species
GUUGUAUGGUUAAGUGACUAAGCGUACACGGUGGAUGCCUGGGCAGUCAGAGGCGAUGAAGGACGUACUAACUUGCGAUAAGCGCAGAUGAGGCAGUAAGAGCCGUUUGAGUCUGCGAUUUCCGAAUGGGGAAACCCAACUGCAUAAGCAGUUACUGUUAACUGAAUACAUAGGUUAACAGAGCAAACCGGGGGAACUGAAACAUCUAAGUACCCCGAGGAGAAGAAAUCAACCGAGAUUCCGGUAGUAGCGGCGAGCGAACCUGGAUUAGCCCUUAAGCACUCGGUGAAGUAGGUGAACAAGCUGGAAAGCUUGGCGAUACAGGGUGAUAGCCCCGUAACCGACGCUUCAUCGAGCGUGAAAUCGAGUAGGGCGGGACACGUGAUAUCCUGUCUGAAUAUGGGGGGACCAUCCUCCAAGGCUAAAUACUCCUGACUGACCGAUAGUGAACCAGUACCGUGAGGGAAAGGCGAAAAGAACCCCUGUGAGGGGAGUGAAAUAGAACCUGAAACCGUGUACGUACAAGCAGUAGGAGCACCUUCGUGGUGUGACUGCGUACCUUUUGUAUAAUGGGUCAGCGACUUAUAUUCAGUGGCAAGGUUAACCGUAUAGGGGAGCCGUAGCGAAAGCGAGUCUUAACUGGGCGUUCAGUCUCUGGAUAUAGACCCGAAACCGGGUGAUCUAGCCAUGGGCAGGUUGAAGGUUGAGUAACAUCAACUGGAGGACCGAACCGACUAAUGUUGAAAAAUUAGCGGAUGACUUGUGGCUAGGGGUGAAAGGCCAAUCAAACUCGGAGAUAGCUGGUUCUCCCCGAAAGCUAUUUAGGUAGCGCCUCGGACGAAUACUACUGGGGGUAGAGCACUGUUAAGGCUAGGGGGUCAUCCCGACUUACCAACCCUUUGCAAACUCCGAAUACCAGUAAGUACUAUCCGGGAGACACACGGCGGGUGCUAACGUCCGUCGUGGAGAGGGAAACAACCCAGACCGCCAGCUAAGGUCCCAAAGUAUUGCUAAGUGGGAAACGAUGUGGGAAGGCUCAGACAGCUAGGAUGUUGGCUUAGAAGCAGCCAUCAUUUAAAGAAAGCGUAAUAGCUCACUAGUCGAGUCGGCCUGCGCGGAAGAUGUAACGGGGCUAAGCAAUACACCGAAGCUGCGGCAAUAUCUUUUAGAUAUUGGGUAGGGGAGCGUUCUGUAAGCCGUUGAAGGUGAAUCGUAAGGUUUGCUGGAGGUAUCAGAAGUGCGAAUGCUGACAUGAGUAACGACAAAGGGGGUGAAAAACCUCCUCGCCGGAAGACCAAGGGUUCCUGUCCAACGUUAAUCGGGGCAGGGUGAGUCGACCCCUAAGGUGAGGCCGAAAGGCGUAAUCGAUGGGAAACGGGUUAAUAUUCCCGUACUUCUGACUAUUGCGAUGGGGGGACGGAGAAGGCUAGGUGGGCCAGGCGACGGUUGUCCUGGUUCAAGUGCGUAGGCUUGAGAGUUAGGUAAAUCCGGCUCUCUCUAAGGCUGAGACACGACGUCGAGCUACUACGGUAGUGAAGUCAUUGAUGCCAUGCUUCCAGGAAAAGCCUCUAAGCUUCAGAUAGUCAGGAAUCGUACCCCAAACCGACACAGGUGGUCGGGUAGAGAAUACCAAGGCGCUUGAGAGAACUCGGGUGAAGGAACUAGGCAAAAUGGUACCGUAACUUCGGGAGAAGGUACGCUCUUGAUGGUGAAGUCCCUCGCGGAUGGAGCUGACGAGAGUCGCAGAUACCAGGUGGCUGCAACUGUUUAUUAAAAACACAGCACUGUGCAAAAUCGCAAGAUGACGUAUACGGUGUGACGCCUGCCCGGUGCCGGAAGGUUAAUUGAUGGGGUUAGCGCAAGCGAAGCUCUUGAUCGAAGCCCCGGUAAACGGCGGCCGUAACUAUAACGGUCCUAAGGUAGCGAAAUUCCUUGUCGGGUAAGUUCCGACCUGCACGAAUGGCGUAAUGAUGGCCACGCUGUCUCCACCCGAGACUCAGUGAAAUUGAAAUCGCUGUGAAGAUGCAGUGUACCCGCGGCUAGACGGAAAGACCCCGUGAACCUUUACUACAGCUUGGCACUGAACAUUGAACCUACAUGUGUAGGAUAGGUGGGAGGCUAUGAAGACGUGACGCCAGUUGCGUUGGAGCCGUCCUUGAAAUACCACCCUUGUAUGUUUGAUGUUCUAACUUAGCCCCAUUAUCUGGGGUGAGGACAGUGCCUGGUGGGUAGUUUGACUGGGGCGGUCUCCNACCCGUUAUCCGGGUUGAGGACAGUGCCUGGUGGGUAGUUUGACUGGGGCGGUCUCCUCCCAAAGAGUAACGGAGGAGCACGAAGGUGGGCUAAUCACGGUUGGACAUCGUGAGGUUAGUGCAAUGGCAUAAGCCCGCUUAACUGCGAGAAUGACGGUUCGAGCAGGUGCGAAAGCAGGUCAUAGUGAUCCGGUGGUUCUGUAUGGAAGGGCCAUCGCUCAACGGAUAAAAGGUACUCCGGGGAUAACAGGCUGAUACCGCCCAAGAGUUCAUAUCGACGGCGGUGUUUGGCACCUCGAUGUCGGCUCAUCACAUCCUGGGGCUGAAGUCGGUCCCAAGGGUAUGGCUGUUCGCCAUUUAAAGUGGUACGCGAGCUGGGUUUAGAACGUCGUGAGACAGUUCGGUCCCUAUCUGCCGUGGGCGUUGGAAGAUUGAAGGGGGCUGCUCCUAGUACGAGAGGACCGGAGUGGACGAACCUCUGGUGUUCGGGUUGUGUCGCCAGACGCAUUGCCCGGUAGCUAAGUUCGGAAUUGAUAAGCGCUGAAAGCAUCUAAGCGCGAAGCGAGCCCUGAGAUGAGUCUUCCCUGA